GCAGAUUUCGUGCAGUUUGAACUACAGGGGGUUUUUCGCGAUUGUAGCCUACCUAUUAGUAACCCCACGCCCCUUAGGGCUUCCCUGAGCUUCACAGCAGCAGGAGAAGAGGUAGGGGAGUUCUCCACACCCUCCCUCUCUAUUUCUUUGAUUUUGGUUGGUUUUAUUUGUGAUUUAAGCCUCUCUUUUUCCCUCUUUUUGCUUCUUGGUGUUCUCCCUCCAUGGAAGGAGCUUGAAGCUUGGUUUUGGAGCUUGUUUGAGGGGAGAUUCUCAGAUUUUGGGGACUUGGAUACUUGUUGGAGGCUUCCAAAGAGGUUAGAAACAUGAUUCCACCUUUUGAUUCAUGUUUUUGAGGCUUUGUUGAAUUGAAACCCUAGAUUGUGAUAUUAGGGUUUGUUUUGGGUAUUUUGAAUCUAGGGCUUUUAAAGCUAGAUUGAGUGGAUUAGAGGCUUCCAUUGGGUUAGAUUGGGUGAGCCCUAGCUUCAUUUUGGAGCUCUAGAGGAGAUUUUGCACUAAAGGUGAGUUUUCCACACCUAUGAUUGAUUAGCUUAAUGUUUGAGCUAGGUAUUGUUCGUUCGGCUCGUAUGACUCAUGUUCUUGUACCUUUAGGGUACUAGGAGACUAGAGGACACCCUCGUUGGAGCGCACGAGGAGUUUCGUUGUCAUCGGUGGGUUUGGCUUCGUGGAAAUGGGGUGGAAUGGCCCCUAUGCUCUUUCUACUUG
rnacentral:lncRNA from 1 species